CAAACCCCAAGCUCCCCCACCUCAAAAAGAGCAAAGCAAAAAAAAUGAGUGGUUGAGGUGUGAUGAAGUCAUAACUAAGUCACAAACGACGUUAACCAAUCAGCUCUGCAAACGUCAAUACUGCGGAGUUGUGUCUUCCGGUUUCCGGCUGCAACCCUCAGCACACAGCACAGUGCUUGGCACAACGAAGGCUGCAGACUCUAAAAUCAUGGAGUCAACGUAGCUCAGGCCGUGAGACUGCUCAACAGAGGGAAGUCCUGCCCGCAGGUGUUGAUGACAUAUUUCCAGGGGACUUUGGAAGCCACCAGAUCUCUCAUGCAGUUCAGGUCAGCCUGGAGCCGGGAGAAGCCACCAUAGACCACCCGCUCCAUCCUAGAAGCCAGGAAGGCAUUGGGGAAACAGCUCAGUAAAUGCCUCACCGCUUCUUUGAAGGUCUCUGCCGCCUUACUGUCCACGUGCACACAGUAGACGUUCUGGGGCAUGUAAAUGGCCCUGAAGAGCCUUUCAAAGGUGUCGAAGUCUUUGUAGAUCACCAUGACGUAGGCCAAGGGAAAGUCAGCUUCUUCUUCGGACAAGGGACUGGUAAUAUAGUGGCUCAGGAUCUGGUACUGAGAGCAGGAGAGUUUUUCUAAAGGAUGUGGUGAUGUGAUCCCCGGCACGAAGACCGAAUGAUUUUGCAAGCCGUAAUCACAGGCGAUGACAGACGUCCUUUCGCUGGAGCUAUUGAACCGCUGGUAGAGGUUGGGCAGGCUUAGCUGGCUGUGAUAAAAAACCACAAAAAUCACCACGCUGAGCGCAGUGAAAGCGAAAAAUUUCAUACAUAGGUUCAUUAUUUCCAGUCCCAGGUGGGAAGAAUUAUCACCGGAGACCGAGAAGUGACCACAGUUCUGAAAGCCCAGGAGCGAGAGGCGGACCUGGCUGCUCCAGAUUCGACGGCUUCUCCCGAACAGAUGCGGGCUCGCGCUCCCCAGUUCUCAAGUCGUGGGUCCCCGGUGCUGCCGAGUCUGGUCCAUCCUCCGGGAACGGCUGGAAUCCGACAGCUUUCCCACCGCACGUUCGCAACUGAAGCUGGAAGCCCCUAGGAACCGAAUCCCUGCGGGCAGGAGCUCAGCCCCGCCCAGCUAAGGGAAACCUCUUCGUUUGCAUACGAAAAGCUAGAGGUGCCGCCAGCAGGCUGCGUUCCGAAGCGGAGUGACGGGACCUGGAACUGACUGUCUCAGGCAUCAGCCCCACCCACCUCCCCUCGGUCCAGCUAAGCGGCUCUUUUCUCUCGCGUACACCCCUCGUCUCUUACAGGAGGUGGCUCUGUGUUCUGGCCGGGCUUUGAGGACAGUAUUGGGCGACAGCUCCUCGGUGUUUCUCUCCUUUCUCGUUUAUUUAUUUAUUUUUUUCAUUUCACUCUUAUCUCCGCCCCUGGGCAGAGACAUAGAUACGGGAAAAGAGUAUUGCAACACGUCUAAAUAGAUAAUCGGCAGAGAGGACAGAGAAACCUCUGCGGUGAGGUGUGUUGGAUUAAAUCAUUCCGCUGGGUUGUGUCUACUCAGACUAUGAGAAGAGGGGGCAAAGAAUCAGGCUGGGGGACACCCGGCGAAGGUGAUUUCUCACACUAAAGGGUCCGAGUUGAGGACAGUUAAGGGGGUAAACACAUCUUUGUUUGCAUGCUAUGUCGAAAUGUGAUAGCCACUGGUUUCCGUUUCACACAGAGCUUCAGAUGUCUAGAACUGUCAACACAGUAUUAUUUGCAAUAUUUGAGCACCUAGCUACUGAGUCUCCUUUAAUAUCAGAAUGCCAUCAAAUUUGUGGUCAUUUUAUAAAACUCUAGAGAUUCUCUAGUCCCUUUCCCACACACCCAACUCUCCCACUUCCGGGACUCUGAAGAAAGAACAAAUGUUUCUGGGCAGUUGUAAAAUUCCUGGAAGUAUAAGUCAUUGUGACUCAGGGAGACCAGGAAGAGGGGGUCUGGUUACAGGGCUUGGAAUUAUUUUCUUAGUUUACCUGUGCACCGGUGUGGCCAGACAGCUCACAGAAUGUAGAGGGUUUGGGGGGGAAACAAGGCUGGUCCUAUGGGUAGGUUUCUAGGCGGAAAGCAUCUGGGAGACUUCAGCAUCUGCUCCAGUCAGGAAACCACUGGACGCCUAACCAGCAGCCACGGAGUCUCCUCUCUCCCUGCCCCACUUCAUUUUGCCCUCUUUGCCAUUCAUGGUACUGACACAGUGAACCAUCAAGAUUGACUUGGAAGAGUCAAGGUAGAUUUGGAAUGCUGCCAAACAGGAACCUCUGAGAUCACCAAACAUACUUUCUGUGAUUGACAAGUGAGGAGACCUAGGAUGGUCUCCCUAUGGCCAUUCAACAGUCCCGCUGUGGCUGCAUCCAGAUGCGGAAACCGGUCUUCUCUCUAAUUCCUAAGCCUGAACAGACCAGGGAGAAAUUCUCUGCCUCUGAAAACAACAGGCCCUCCCUCUCAGAGAGGGCGGAUGAAAAUGCCAAGCUGCAGCUCUCAUUUCACAAGGUUGUCCUGGCAAUUAAAUGAGAUUCCUCCUGCUCACACCUUGGAAGGAACCUGGCCUCUCACUGGCUGAGUGUGAAUUCAGAAAGUGUUGCCUGCGUUACUCUUUCUCCUCUUUUGAAAAAUAGCCGGUAUUUCUGAUCCUGCUAAUGAACGGAUACUUUGAUUUCUGGUCUUUUUAUUUUCCAGUCAGGGCUUCUCUGUGUAGCCUCAGCUGUCCUGGAACUCACUCUGUGAACCAGGCUGGCUUUGAACUCAGAGAUCCACCUGCCACUGCCUCCCUAGUGCUGGGUUAAGGACUUGUUAGGAGUUUAAGGAACUGAAUAAGACUUUCUGUCUUCGGGCUGGAGAGAUGGCUCAGAGGUUAAGAGCACUGACUGCUCUUCCAGAGGUCCUGAGUUCAAUUCCCAGCAACCACAUGGUGGCUCACAACCAUCUGUAAUGGGAUCUGAUGCCCUCUUCUGGUGUGUCUGAAGAUAGCUACAGUGUACUUAUAUAUAAUAAAUGAAUAAAUCUUUAAAAAAAAAAGACUUUCUGUCUUCUAGAAGGUAGCCAAUCUGGAUAUGAAGAGAAAUCUGUAGUAACUAUAAUGUGAUAAAUCCAAUCUGGGGCUAAAAGUCGUCUUCACCAUUGCCCGGCUUGAUUUCUGUUAAUAAUGUAAAGAAAACAUUUACCUUAAGGCUUUAAAUUGGACCAAUUAAUCCCCAGAACUCACACCUUACUCUGCAGGGUGAGGCAGUACAAACCUGUAACUACCGCCCUUAUGAGGCUGAGACAGGAAGAUUGUAAAUUCCAAGUUCUAGGCUAACCCAGGCUACAAAUGAGAUCCUAUCUCAGAAAACCCAUCAAGCCAGGUACAGUGUCGAAAUCUUUCAUGUUAGAACUCCAGAGGCAGAGGCAGGCAGAUCCCUGUGAGUUUGAGGCCAGCCUGAUUAACGUAGAAAGUUCAAGGAGAGUUGGGAUUACAUAGAGAAAGCUUGUCUCAAGCAAGCAAGCAAGAACAUACGCACACACACACACACACACACACAUACACACAAACACACACACACAUAUACACAGACACACUCAUACACACACAUAAACACACAUAUACACACACACCACACACAUAUACACCUACAUAUAGCACACACACAAACACAGACACACAUAUACACAGACACACACACAAACACAGACACACAUAUACACAGACACACACACAUAAACACACAUAUACACACACACACCACACACCACACACAUAUACACAUACACACAGCACACACACAGACACACAGCACACACACACACACACACACACACACACACACACACAGCUCUAUAAGGGAACUAUCUGAAUAGACCAUUCUGAUGGCUACAUUCCUUCAAGUAAAAUAUAACCUUGGCAAAGGCCGUGGCAAAGGGAAAGUUAGAGGUUCCAAUUUUGUUCCUUACCUUUGUCCCAACCUGAUCUUACAGAGGGAGUGCUGGUGGGUGCCAAAAGAAAGUGAAUUCAAGAAUUCGGGGUGGAGGUAGAGGUAGAAGCCGGGGUGUUGCCACAUGAUUUAUGGUUUAAAGCCAUGGUAUACUCCCCAUCCCUGUGUACCAAACCAAAACCGUGUCUCAGCAGCUAGUGCAGUUUGCCCUGGCUCGUCUCUGGUGUGAGAGGAGUCCAUGUUAUCUUUUUACUGGCUGGCCUAAGCAGUAGGUUUGUUUUGCCUGGUCUCCAUUGUAACCAGGCAGGCAUUUUUUUUUUCCUUCUAGCAAAUGAUUGGGAGAGUGGGGCUAUUAACUUCCAACAGGAACGUUAUUUCUACUCUGUUCACUCUGGUUGAAGAGAAGUACUAAAAAGUGUCCUCAAGUGAACAUUUUGUAUCCUGCCUCUCUGUGGCUCAGGAUAACCUUUAUGGUCGCAAAGACACAGAAGGCUGACAUGGUUGGGCUCUAUAACAAAGAACCCAGUAAUCAGAGGCUGAGGUGGGACCAAAAAAACUUCUCAUUAAUCUCAUGGGGGUUUUACUUCAGUUAAGGAGGGCAGAACAGGAUUGGGACUCUGGGUGUGACUCUUGGCUAUAGAACCAAGGUACUGUUCAUUUAUUAACUGACAAAAUAUUUGCGUAUGCAUGCACGGUAUUGUCAUUCGGUACAUUUCCAUGUUACGUCAGCAUUUUACAUUGCCAUCAUUUCUCUGUUAGGAGCCCUCUCUCUCCUCGCUGGUUCCUUUGAUGGGCAGAGGAAGUUGUUUUUGAUCAUGGCUGAGCUACUGUACCAUAUAUCACAAGCACACUUCCCAGCCAGACUCUACCCAAGCCCAGGUUGAAUCCUGCAUGACCUCGUUCAAGGUCACUCUGUGCUGUUCUGUAUGGAAGCCUUCAGUCACAUCUGUCCAGCUACUUCUAAAUUUCCACCAAAAAGUACAGGGACUGGGCUGGGAACCGAAUCUCUGUCUCCCUGAAGCUAAGCAUGAAGUCUUCACCAAGCUCCAACCGUCUUGGAGACGAGACAAGACGAGACAUUUUAAACAUAGCGUCUGCCAGAAGCCUGUAUCUCCAGGAUCCCAUUGUCCCCGCAUUUCCAAAUAAACGGAAACACAAGACAGGUGUUUGCUUUUGCUCCGACUUGUAACUUUAAUAACCCUAUGAAAUUUCUGACUUGGUUUUAGUUUACCCAAUCCGCUUUUUUCUGAACGGAGCCUGUCAUUUGCUUGAGUUCAGACGGUUUAUUAGGACAGAGUUCUUGCGCAAAUGAUCAAAUUCAUGUAUUUCUUGCUCCCUUGGAAAAUGAUAGUGAACACAAAAUCUGCCUGCAAGAUAUGUCCUCCCUGUUCAGGAACAGCCUCGGAUUCUCCCCUGAUUGAACUGGCUUUCCUUUUAAGUGUCUGGAAGCUUGCCUGUCUUUACUGACCAGCGUUGCUGAGCUGCAGGAGAAAACCUUUUUGACCAGCCAGUGGGGCACCGAGCAGUUAUCACAAGAGGCAUCGCUGAAGAGAACCGAGAUAUCUGAGGUGCUGAGUCUGGCCUGAAACUACGUAGCUGAGAAUGACCUUGAAGUUCUGAUCCUCUGAUCUCUACCUGCUGAGAGGAUCAUGGCACUGAAGGGACACACAACGUAAACACGUCUGGAAACAACUUAUGGCUUUGCCCAGAAGCAGCUUAAGAAAAGAAUCACACGCCUUGUGUACAGUGAGAGAUCUCUGGCUAGGAUGUUUAUAGAUGGGGAGUGCUUCCCUACAGAGGCCACCGCCGCCACAGCCACCACCGUACUUAAGGAACCUGCUGAAGUUCCCCACAGCAGGGGUUAGAAAACCACAACGGAUCACAGCUUUAUGCACAGGUCCUUUCUUUUUUGCCUCACUGGCCCCAGCCAGGGUUCCAGGGCCCGAGAAGCACGGCGGGCAGCGGGCACAGUCUCAAGUAUGCAGCACAGGAGAAAAUUUGAGACUCUGCCUGAGUAAGUGGGAAGGGAGGAAUGAUGAUGACGACGUAUAUUUGACUUACGAGUGUCAGAGUUCCGGUUCCUUGGAGUUCCCCAUCCCCCACCCCGCCUUCAAGAACUCAUCGCCAACACCCUAACUCCACCCCCAGCAGCAAUGCAACGCAUUUCCACUGUUGCUGUAUUUCCCCUACACCGCAUAAAGCCCGCCAUCACAGCCUGGCCUGUCGCUGCCUUCAUCCACACUUAUAGCCAUAGCCAUUUUUGCAUGCCCCCCCCCAAUAAAUAUCUUGCAUUAUGUCUGUUUUGUGGUGUGUUUUUCUUUUUAAACGGC